rfam:Lactobacillus selangorensis strain DSM 13344 Scaffold4, whole genome shotgun sequence.
AUUUAUGGUUAUUUUCUACCUAAGACUCAGGUGACGGAAACGUCUUAAUAUCCUGCCGAGGAAUGAACGAACGUAUUCAACCUCUAUGUCUUGGUGGCAUGGAGCUUUUUUUUACGAAAA